UGAAGCUUGAAGAUGCUCCCCAAGUUUCCCUCCUUCAAAAGAGUCACCUUGAACUCCUCUCACAAACAACAUUGCAUACUUCCCUGUAACCAAUGGAUCUUCUCCUGGUGUCUCUUGGCCUCUACCCCAUCUUGGGUCUCUGAAUAUAUUAAUAUUCGGUGCCCAAAAUGUGAGUCCAGUUGCUUGUCCAGCAUUGUACAGUGCUCUAGCUUCUUUUCCAAUCACUUGACCAAUGCGAAACCAGAUCUGGGGAUUGAAAGAAGCAGCUGUGAGAAUGACCUGAGGGAAGCUGGUGGCAGACCGAAUGGUUCCAUUGAAGUUGAUGCCAUAGGUUGUAUUGCCCACGUAGGCUACACCAUGCAAUGCUUCGUCCCACCACUGGUAGCUAGGAAUGCCAAGUCGAGGAAUUGGAGGGGCUGUGUUAACUAGUUGGGCUAUUUUUUCAUCUAAUGUAAGUCUAGAGAUAAGGUCUUGGACCCUUUGGCUUAUGGAUAAUGUGUUACUGCAAAAAGGAUAGAGUUUUGUUGAUGGGUUAGACAAGUCGCAUGCGAAUGGAGGUGAAACUGACUCAACCAAGUGAACCAGUGAAGUAAUGUUAAUGAAGACUGUGACUAUGAGGAUUAUAAGUUUCAUCUUUUCAUUCAUCUUUUUGAUUACCAAUCAAGAUGUAAG
rnacentral:misc_RNA from 1 species